ensembl:lncRNA
UAGGGACUUCGCUCCCUCUGGAGGCUGCUGUGUCAGCCUGCUAGACGGAGUCCCUCCAGGUAGGAUUAAACAAUAAAGCCUUGUGUUUGCAGUUUGGUGAGUUUGUCUCCUUGGUAGUCUCUGGGGGGGUCUUUGAGACUUGGGCACAGCAUCAUUAGAAUAAUAUAAACAAGAGUGGCAGUAUUUGGUACAUAUAGGAUGUUGAACAAUGGGAACUUGUGUAUGAUGGAAAUUAGUGCAAUUACUUUGAACAUGAUUUGGUAAUAUCUAGUAAAGCUGAAAAUGUGCCAGAAGAAUAAGAUCCAGUCCAGGGUGUAUGUAGAAGGACUCUUCCUGCUCAUGUGUGUGGGAGAGUUAUGUGAGAAUGACAAAAUGCAUGUGUGAGAGGGUAGUUACAAUUCAGAGGUGCCUGACUUGUCCAUUGGAGACUACCGCCUGUCCCCUAGAAUCUGCUCUCAUCCUCUAACACCACAGGCUAGUGGGACACAUGGUUAGACUAUGUCUUACUUGUUGCCUUUUCUGUCCUCCAUAUGGUAAAUGAGUAGCCAGCUAAUGUUUCUCUGUUGGAAUGUGUGGAAGUGAUGUGUAUGCUUUGGAGACUGACUGUAAGUGAGGAAUAUAGCUAUGAUUAAUGGGUGACUACCAUUUACAUGGGCCUGUGUUUGGUCCCUGGCUCUGGGGAGAAAGUUCUCAUCUAGAUUCACUUCUCUUUGCUUCUUGGUGCCAUGAUUCGAGCUUUUCUGGUCUGCCACACCCUGUAUGUUUGAUAGACCAAUAUCUCUAAAGGUGUGACUAAAUAAAUUCCUCUUUAAAGGAAAAGGGAGAUCGUGUACCAUGCAUUCCUUUCCAAUUUUGUCUGUUAGAUGCAAAUGAGGCAAUGCCUCACAGGAUAAGAGUGUGCAAAAUGGAAGGUGGUAGACUCUGAGUCAGCCCCUGAAGGGGAGCUAUUUGCCAAGCAGGAGCACCUGAGACAUUAAAACCUACUCUGAUACAUUAUCUUUUCUAUCCAGAUGGAUAAAAUGUGAUAGUCACACAGUGGAAUACUGUCCUAGUUUGGUUCGUGUUUCUGUGAUAAACACCAUAUGCAAAAGCAACCUAGGGAGAAAAGGGUUUAUUUUAUUCUACAGCUUCUAGUCCUUCAUGGAGGGAAGCCAGGACAGGAGCUUCGGAACCUGGAGGCAGAAACAGAAGCAACAGGCUGUGGAGGAGUGCUAGUUCGUUCAUCGUGGGUUGCUCAGUUUGGUUUUUAAUGUAAUCCAGGCACCACUCCCACAUCAAUUAUCAAUUAAGAAAAUGCCCCCAGGGGCUGGAGAGAUGGCUCAGAGGUUAAGAGCACUGGCAGCUCUUCCAGAGGCCCUGAGUUCAAUUCUCAGCAACCACAUGGUGGCUCACAACCUUCUAUAAUGAGAUUUGGUGCCCUCUUCUGGUGUGUAGGCAUAUAUGCCAGAACACUGUAUACAUAAAAAAUAUUUUUAAAAAAUUUAAAAGAAGAAAGAAAAUGCCCCCCAAAGACUUGCCUAUAGGUCAUUCUGAUGGAGACAUUUUCUCAAUUGAGGUUCCCUCUUCCCAGAUGGCACUAGCUUGUGUCAAGUUGACAAAAACUUCACUAGUACAAAGUAUAUAUAGUUAUAUAGUUAUAUAGUUAUAUAGUUUAUAUAGUUAUAUAUUACAAAUUAUAUAUAUAGUUAUAUAUUACUAUAUAUAUAUAUAUAGUUAUAUAUUACAAAGUCACCAUCAGACAUACAUGCAAAACACCCAGAAAAUAAAAAUAAAUCAUCACAAAAAAUUUCUGUAUAACUCAGGAGUUCUUCUUUUAACAGCAAGUGACAUUUCUAAUCCUAUUAAAAGAGACAGAUGGAUGAGUGGUGGUGGCGCACACCUUUAAUUCUAGCACUUGAGAGGCAGAGGCAGGUGGAAGGUGGAUCUCUGUGAGUUUGAGGCCAGCCUGGUCUUCAAGAGUGAGUUACAGGAUAGCCAGGACUGUUACACAGAGAAACCCUGUCUUGAAAAAACCAAAAACAGAGAGAGAGAGAGAGAGAGAGAGAGAGAGAGAGAGAGAGAGAGAGAAGGAGAGAGGGAGGGAAGGAGGGAGGGAGAGAGAUAGGAGAGAGAGAGAGGAGAGGAGAGGAGAAAUAUGAUAUGCUGGGCAUGGUAAUCCAUAUAAUAUAGAUAAUAUAGAUUAGGUGUGUGUGUGUGUGUGUGUGUGUGUGUGUGUGUGUGUGUGUGUGUGUGUGUUCAAGCGCCACAGUAAACAUGUGGGAGUCGUAAGACAACUUAUGGGAGUUAGUUCUCACCUUUCCAUCAUGUGGAUUCUAGAGAUCAAACUCAAGUCAUCUCAAGAACACUCCUUGGGCCUUGGUGAUGAGUGUCCUGAAGUUGACCAGAGUGUUGGGUUUACGGUGAGUGAUGCCACACCAAGCUUCAACUGGUGCUGGAGACUGAACUCGGGGCUCACCAGAGCCCUCAUCCAGUGGCUGAUGGAAGCAGAGACUGACAUCCACAGAUAUACACUGAGCUGAAAUCUGGAAUUUAGUUGAAGAGAGGGAGGAAUGAAGAGCGAAGGGGUCUGUACCAGGUUGGAGAAACCCACAGAAACAGUUGGCCUGAACAAGGGGGAGAACAUCGACCCCAGAUGCUGUCCAGGAGGCCAGUACAACACUGAUCCAGACCCCUGAACAUGGAUGUCAAUAAGGAGGCCUCUGCACUCCAGGGAGCCUGUGGUGAUGGAUUAGCAUUUUUCCCUGGUGUAAGAAGGAACUUUGAGAGCCCAUCCCACGUGAAGGGAUACACUCUGGCCCUGGACACAUGGGGAAGGGCCUAGGCCCAGCACAGGAAGAUUUGGUGGACUUUGCAGAACUCCCGUUGAGGGCUCUACCCUGCAUGGGGAGUGGUGGGUGGA